ACGGGUGAGUAACACGUGGGUGAUCUGCCCUGCACUCUGGGAUAAGCCUGGGAAACUGGGUCUAAUACCGGAUAGGACCACACACUUCAUGGUGAGUGGUGCAAAGCUUUUGCGGUGUGGGAUGAGCCCGCGGCCUAUCAGCUUGUUGGUGGGGUAAUGGCCCACCAAGGCGACGACGGGUAGCCGGCCUGAGAGGGUGACCGGCCACACUGGGACUGAGAUACGGCCCAGACUCCUACGGGAGGCAGCAGUGGGGAAUAUUGCACAAUGGGCGCAAGCCUGAUGCAGCGACGCCGCGUGAGGGAUGACGGCCUUCGGGUUGUAAACCUCUUUCAGUAGGGACGAAGCGAAAGUGACGGUACCUACAGAAGAAGGACCGGCCAACUACGUGCCAGCAGCCGCGGUAAUACGUAGGGUCCGAGCGUUGUCCGGAAUUACUGGGCGUAAAGAGCUCGUAGGUGGUUUGUCGCGUUGUUCGUGAAAACUCACAGCUUAACUGUGGGCGUGCGGGCGAUACGGGCAGACUAGAGUACUGCAGGGGAGACUGGAAUUCCUGGUGUAGCGGUGGAAUGCGCAGA
rnacentral:rRNA from 2 species